UACAGGCUUAACACAUGCAAGUCGAGGGGCAGUCAGGAAGAAAGCUUGCUUUCUUUGCUGGCGACCGGCGCACGGGUGAGUAACACGUAUCCAACCUGCCCUUUACUCGGGGAUAGCCUUUCGAAAGAAAGAUUAAUACCCGAUAGCAUAAUGAUUCCGCAUGGUUUCAUUAUUAAAGGAUUCCGGUAAAGGAUGGGGAUGCGUUCCAUUAGGUUGUUGGUGAGGUAACGGCCCACCAAGCCUUCGAUGGAUAGGGGUUCUGAGAGGAAGGUCCCCCACAUUGGAACUGAGACACGGUCCAAACUCCUACGGGAGGCAGCAGUGAGGAAUAUUGGUCAAUGGGCGUUAGCCUGAACCAGCCAAGUAGCGUGAAGGAUGAAGGCUCUAUGGGUCGUAAACUUCUUUUAUAUAAGAAUAAAGUGCAGUAUGUAUACUGUUUUGUAUGUAUUAUAUGAAUAAGGAUCGGCUAACUCCGUG
rnacentral:rRNA from 1 species